rnacentral:rRNA from 1 species
CCUACGGGAGGCAGCAGUAGGGAAUAUUGCUCAAUGGGGGAAACCCUGAAGCAGCAACGCCGCGUGGAGGAUGAAGGUGUUAGGAUUGGAAACUCCUUGUGGUAGAGAAGAGGAUGACGGUAGCUAACGAAUAAGCACCGGCUAACGCCGGGCCAGCAGCCGCGGUAAUACGGAGGGUACAAGCGUUACUCGGAAUCACUGGGCGUAAAGAGUGCGUAGGCGGGGUAAGAAGUCAGAUGUGAAAUCCUGUCGCUUAACUACAGAACUGCAUUUGAAACUGUUACUCUGGAGUGUGGGAGAGGUCGGUGGCAUUCUUUGUGUAGCGGUCAAAUCCGU